rnacentral:lncRNA from 1 species
UCUUCUCUCUAUAGAUUUGUUUGUCUCGUUCCUCUCUCCUUCCUAUCUUCAUUUACUUCUCUUUCUCCCCCUCUUCCUAUUUCUUUCCCCUUCAUGUACAAGUCUCUUUCUUUAUUCAUUGCAUUAUUGCUGAGCAUCUAAAAAUCCCAUAUAUUAGCUUUAUUGGGAUCCUUAAGUGAGUACUAUAAUUGUCAGCUUCUUAAAAUUGAUCAACUCCUUGCCACAGACUCUUCAAAAUGCUGUAAAGCUUAGUCACGCCUUCUCUCUCCUGUUUUGUGAAUGUGGUUUUAAUUUCAUAAAUUUCUGCUGAAUUCUCUAGGUUGGAGGAGGUUUCAUCCACAACAUCCUACAUCUUUUUAGCGUUUGGCAGAAAACCUUAAGCAUGGCCAACAUACUUCUAUUUCUGUGACCAUACAUCUUCUCUGAUUGACUUCACUAAUGGAUAUUUUGCCAGCUUAGCUUAUGACUUGUAGUUUGGGUUGUAGUAGCAUUAUGGACAGGAUGUAACUGCAUACGUCUUAGACUUUUCUGGGUUACUCUGGGGUGCCGAGUCUCCACUGAUCCCUGCAUGAUGAAGCAUAAGUUUUUUGAAAAAAAAGAAAAAAAGAAAAAAAAAAGGAAUGUGUGGCACACAAGUUAAUGUUAGGGUUUUGGCCCAGAGUGGUGAUUUGAUACCAUAAAAUAUUAUAUUAUAAAAUGGUAUAUGCAUAUUGAUUGUUCAUUAAGAGACUAAUUUAACAUUGUUUUCAAUUUUUUGACAAUGUUUUCAAUUUUUUGUAAUUCUGAGUCUUCAAAUGCAAGAAGAACAUUUAAG